rnacentral:lncRNA from 1 species
AUUGUGGUCUUUUUCAACCCAGGCCAUUCUAUGAUUCUAUAGGCACAUGUUUAUUCAUUGUUUAAGGUUGUUAUGAAUGAAGCUUUCGCAACAGCUAAGCAGCCCACAUUACCAUUUAUUAGUCAGAAUCACAGUGAUGCAGAAAAAUACAAAACUAUGCUAUUAUUCCCAAACUACAGCACUCAGCUUACUAGAAAAAAUAAAAAUCCAUGCUGCUUAAUUUCAGGAGGUUUAGUAUUAAAGUUACAAGCUGAAGCAUCCAGCAGUGUUGCUUCUUACCAUCACUGGAGUUGUCCCAGAAGCAAGAGCUUGCUGUAUGUAGCCCAGCGCCAUUCUUUUGCAUUAUCACACAGGUCACAAUAUACUUGAAAGGUUUCCCCAGCUUGGUGAGCUGGCUUAGAGAUUGUUCCACCACACUUGUUGUCCACUGGUUCACCUUGCUGUGCUGGUAGGCAUUGCCACCUAUUGCGCUUUCUAUGGCCUCUUUAAUGAUGUUACUGACUUCGUCAACAACAAAAGAUGUCUCCUCCCCCGCCUGGAAAUCG